GACGAACGCUGGCGGCGUGCUUAACACAUGCAAGUCGAGCGGAAAGGCCCUGCUUGCAGGGUACUCGAGUGGCGAACGGGUGAGUAACACGUGGGUGAUCUGCCCUGCACUUCGGGAUAAGCCUGGGAAACUGGGUCUAAUACCGGAUAGGAGCCAUUUUUAGUGUGAUGGUUGGAAAGUUUUUUCGGUGUAGGAUGAGCUCGCGGCCUAUCAGCUUGUUGGUGGGGUAAUGGCCUACCAAGGCGGCGACGGGUAGCCGGCCUGAGGGGGUGGACGGCCACAUUGGGACUGAGAUACGGCCCAGACUCCUACGGGAGGCAGCAGUGGGGAAUAUUGCACAAUGGGCGCAAGCCUGAUGCAGCGACGCCGCGUGGGGGAUGACGGCCUUCGGGUUGUAAACUCCUUUCGCUAGGGACGAAGCUUUUUGUGACGGUACCUAGAUAAGAAGCACCGGCUAACUACGUG
rnacentral:rRNA from 1 species